AGCUUUGCGCAGUGGCAGUAUCGUAGCCAAUGAGGUUUAUCCGAAGCGCGAUUAUUGCUAAUUGAAUGCUUUCACACCAUAAUGGCAAGUUAAGUAGUAAUAACAGAGACUUUGGGCAAAAAGCCUAAAACAUUUAUUAUCUGGCUCUUUAUAUUAAAA
rnacentral:snRNA from 1 species